GCCUACGGGACGCAGCAGUGAGGAAUAUUGGUCAAUGGCCGAGAGGCUGAACCAGCCAAGUCGCGUGAGGGAAGACGGCCCUACGGGUUGUAAACCUCUUUUGUCGGGGAGCAAAGCGAGUCACGUGUGACUCAUUGAGAGUACCCGAAGAAAAAGCAUCGGCUAACUCCGUGCCAGCAGCCGCGGUAAUACGGAGGAUGCGAGCGUUAUCCGGAUUUAUCGGGUUUAAAGGGUGCGUAGGCGGAAGGUUAAGUUAGCGGUCAAAUGUCGGUGCUCAACACCGGCCUGCCGUUGAAACUGGUCUU
rnacentral:rRNA from 1 species